GACGGUACAGUUCAGUGGUAGGGCAAAUGCUUAACACACACGGGGUCUGGGUUCAAUCCCCAGUACCGCCA
rnacentral:tRNA from 1 species